rnacentral:rRNA from 1 species
GAUGAACGCUGGCGGCGUGCCUAAUACAUGCAAGUCGAGCGAAUGGAUUAAGAGCUUGCUCUUAUGAAGUUAGCGGCGGACGGGUGAGUAACACGUGGGUAACCUGCCCAUAAGACUGGGAUAACUCCGGGAAACCGGGGCUAAUACCGGAUAACAUUUUGAACCGCAUGGUUCGAAAUUGAAAGGCGGCUUCGGCUGUCACUUAGGUAUGGACCCGCGUCGAAUUAGUUAGUUGGUGAGGUAACGGCUCACCAAGGCAACGAUGCGUAGCCGACCUGAGAGGGUGAUCGGCCACACUGGGACGGGGACACGGCCCAGACUCCUACGGGAGGCAGCAGUAGGGAAUCUUCCGCAAUGGACGAAAGUCUGACGGAGCAACGCCGCGUGAGUGAUGAAGGCUUUCGGGUCGUAAAACUCUGUUGUUAGGGAAGAACAAGUGCUAGUUGAAUAAGCUGGCACCUUGACGGUACCUAACCAGAAAGCCACGGCUAACUACGUGCCAGCCGCCGCAGUAA